rnacentral:rRNA from 1 species
CCCUUAGAUGUUCUGGGCCGCGCGCGCGCUACACUGACUACUUCAACGAGUUGUUUCCUUGAUCGAAAGGUCUGGGUAAUCUUUGAAAGGUAGUCGUGAUGGGGAUAGAUCCUUGCAAUUUUUGAUCUUCAACGAGGAAUUCCUAGUAAACGCAAGUCAUCAGCUUGCAUUGAUUACGUCCCUGCCCUUUGUACACACCGCCCGUCGCACCUACCGAUUGAAUGGUCCGGUGAAUCUUUAGGACUGUGGCUGAGGCCUUGCCUUGUGCGGGUCUGGCCGUGGGAAUUUAGUUAAACCUUACCACUUAGAGGAAGGUGAAGUCGUAACA